AAGUCGUAACAAGGUUUCCGUAGGUGAACCUGCGGAAGGAUCAUUAUCGAGUUUUUGAACGGGUUGUAGCUGGCCUUGUAACAGAGGCAUGUGCACGCCUGGCUCAUCCACUCUCUUAACCCCUGUGCACCAUAUGUAGGAAUGAACGGUGAACGUAUCUGCUUAGCGGGCGCUGAAGCCUUAGUUCUUAUGUUUACUACAAACGCUUCAGUUUUAGAAUGUUUACUGUGUAUAACACAAAUAUACAACUUUCAGCAACGGAUCUCUUGGCUCUC
rnacentral:misc_RNA from 1 species